rnacentral:tRNA from 1 species
GCCAUAUCAAUAUCAGAUUACAUUCGCCUUCCAAGUGAAAAUUUUAAUUAAUUUUAAAUAAGGCA